CUACCUUCACUGCUUCCAUUUGAAAAAUAGCGGCGGGACUCGGGCUAUGAGUCCGAGAGUUAGAGCAAAAACUUCCGAAAUAUGGGCAUAUUUCAGGCCAAAUGGUAAAAGAGUUGUCUGUACACUCUGUCAAACUUCACUUGGAAACACACAGGAGAUGUUCAAGACGUUGGGAGUGGGUUUUUUCUCUCCUCCAUAUCACUUCCGGGGCUCCAAAGAUGCGCUCACAGAAAAGGAAAAUACAACGAAGCAGUACGCCAUCUUCACAACUCUGAGACAAACUGUAGCAGGCACCAUGAACCGGAGCAAGGACUAACCUCGCCUCAUAACGAGGCUGUGACCUAUAUUUGCCCAGAGCUGUCUGCAAGUCCAGAUUUACUUGACGCUGAUAAUGACGCCAUUGUGUCUGCCCGUAAGACAUAUUACGAGACAGCACGCAGGAGCUACAGGUAGAAACAACCAGAUGUGGCAUCGCGGGCAGAAGCUGUGAAGAGUUCAGUCGGAGUCGGUCGAGAAGAAAAGAGGCUGCUGGAAGCGAAACAGUGCUGCCUGCAGGUGAGGUGGGCAUUUGGAAGUGCACCACCAUAGACAUACAGGACAAGGCACCCAUAGACGUCUGCAAAAUGGACUGAAUUCAGACAGAACACUGCCGGUUACCUACAACUCCGAGGCGGCAGCGGGUUAGAUGUGGACGGUGCUGCUUCUCGUGAGCGUGGGAUAUUUGUUGUGUGUGCUGUGUGUCUCCGAUGCUUUGUACACAGUUUUUUUCUG